UGGGGAAUAUUGCACAAUGGGCGCAAGCCUGAUGCAGCCAUGCCGCGUGUGUGAAGAAGGCCUUCGGGUUGUAAAGCACUUUCAGCGAGGAGGAAGGUGGUGAGCUUAAUACGCUCAUCAAUUGACGUUACUCGCAGAAGAAGCACCGGCUAACUCCGUGCCAGCAGCCGCGGUAAUACGGAGGGUGCAAGCGUUAAUCGGAAUUACUGGGCGUAAAGCGCACGCAGGCGGUUUGUUAAGUCAGAUGUGAAAUCCCCGGGCUCAACCUGGGAACUGCAUUUGAAACUGGCAAGCUAGAGUCUCGUAGAGGGGGGUAGAAUUCCAGGUGUAGCGGUGAAAUGCGUAGAGAUCUGGAGGAAUACCGGUGGCGAAGGCGGCCCCCCUGGACGAAGACUGACGCUCAGGUGCGAAAGCGUGGGGAGCAAACA
rnacentral:rRNA from 1 species